rnacentral:rRNA from 1 species
CAGUCGCCGCGGGAAUACGUAGGUCCCGAGCGUUGUCCGGAUUUAUUGGGCGUAAAGCGAGCGCAGGCGGUUAGAUAAGUCUGAAGUUAAAGGCUGUGGCUUAACCAUAGUACGCUUUGGAAACUGUUUAACUUGAGUGCAAGAGGGGAGAGUGGAAUUCUAUGUGUAGCGGUGAAAUGCGUAGAUAUAUGGAGGAACACCGGUGGCGAAAGCGGCUCUCUGGCUUGUAACUGACGCUGAGGCUCGAAAGCGUGGGGAGCAAACAGGAUUAGAUACCCCGGUAGUCCCUGUCUCUUAUACA